rnacentral:rRNA from 1 species
ACGGGAGGCAGCAGUGAGGAAUAUUGGUCAAUGGACGGAAGUCUGAACCAGCCAAGUCGCGUGCGGGAGGAAGGCCCUACGGGUCGUAAACCGCUUUUGUACGGGGAUAAAGUCACCCACGUGUGGGUGUUUGUAGGUACCGUAAGAAUAAGGAUCGGCUAACUCCGUGCCAGCAGCCGCGGUAAUACGGAGGAUCCGAGCGUUAUCCGGAUUUAUUGGGUUUAAAGGGAGCGCAGGCGGAGAUGUAAGCCAGCCGUCAAAUCGUGGUGCUCAACGCCAUCCAGCGGUUGGAACUGCAUCCCUUGAGUGCACUAGAGGAAGGUGGAAUUCGUGGUGUAGCGGUGAAAUGCAUAGAUAUCACGAAGAACUCCGAUUGCGAAGGCAGCCUUCUGGGGUGUUACUGACGCUCAUGCUCGAAGGUGCGGGUAUCAAACAGGAUUAGAUACCCUGGUA